AGUGCAACCUUAAGUUGGUGGUAAGUUCCAUCUAAAGCUAAAUAAUACCACGAGACCGAUAGUAAACAAGUACCGUGAGGGAAAGUUGAAAAGAACUUUGAAGAGAGAGUUCAACAGUACGUGAAACCGUUUAGGGGUAAACGGAAAAGAACUGAAAAUCCGAAAAGGGAGAUUCACGUCUUGUCAUAUGUUAAAAUAUAGUAUGUUUUAGGAUAAUUAUAAAUCUAAUCAAUUUUUAUUGUUUUAGUAAUUUUUAAUUGCCUAUAACUAUUAUAAAUAACAAUGGAAGACCGCAAUUCUCUCUAAGUAGGACGUCGCGACCCGCUUGUUUUUAAUUUAAGAAUUAAUUCGUAUAAAGCUUUAUUAUAAUAGAAAUAUUAUAGUAAAAGAAUUAUUUUCUAAUUAAUUAACAGGCGGUAUAAAACGAUAGUGGUAAACCGCUUUAUGCGUUAAUUUAGUUGUACAUUUAUUAUUUUUAGUUUAUUAGGAUAAUGUUCCUAAUUUACUAUAAUAAUUAUGUUAACUUUAUAUUAACAUGGUUUACAACACUAGUCGGCGGCGCUACAGUUUCAGUAACUUUUCCGACCCGUCUUGAAACCCAAGGAGUCUAACAUGUGCGCAAGUCAUUGGGUUUUAAAACCUAAAGGCGUAACAAAAGUAAAGUAAGCUUUGCUUUAUUAGGGAGGAUGGUUAUUAUUUAUAGCUCGCACUCCCGGGGCGUUAAUAAUUCAUUGCGAAUUAAGGCGCACCUAGAGCGUACAUGUUGUGACCCGAAAGAUGGUGAACUAUGCCUGGUCAGGAUGAAGCCAGGGGAAACCCUGGUGGAGGUCCGUAGCGAUUCUGACGUGCAAAUCGAUCGUCAGAGCUGGGUAUAGCGGCGAUAGACUAAUCGAACCAUCUAGUAGCUGGUUCCCUCCGAAGUUUCCCUCAGGAUAGCUGGUGCCAAUGAUGAUUUUGAGUCUCAUCUGGUAAAGCGAAUGAUUAGAGGUCUUGGGGUUGAAACGACCUCAACCUAUUCUCAAACUUUAAAUGGAUGAGAACCUUUGCUUUCUUAAAAAUGAAGCAAAGGAUUCGGAUCUAGGUACCAAGUGGGCCAAUUU
rnacentral:rRNA from 1 species